GUUGUCGCGUCGUGCAGGACACCACAAGCCUUCCAUCUCCGACCGUGUCAUUAAGUAUCAUUUGUCUGCGAUCCGCUGGCCGACAUCCUGCACGCACACCGCCACAAAUGACAGACAAUUGUUGGGUGACAAGAAGAAAAACAACCGAAUCUGUGGCACCAGUCGCGACCAAUUAGUCCACCAGGGGGGCGCCUCAAACAAUAAUAAAGAUCGCAUUUCGAGGGGAUGGUCUCGUGAUCCCCAAUAACAAUAUGUGGCGAUUGGAGUCUUCUUAGCGCCGGAAAGUGUGUCUGCGGAGGUCUAGACCGCCGUCGGCACCGGUUUCUAUUGGUAUUUGAGCAGCAGGGGCGGACUCGCCCGGCGCGACCGGGCCUUUCCAUAUUAACUUGAGGUUACUUUUAAUUUCAAUCAAAAUUUUUACUUGUUUUAAUUUUUGACGUUUACAAUUUAUUGCAAACGUAAAAAUGGAACAAAAAUCUAAGUACAUUAACAAAAGAAAUGAAAGAUAAAAAGAGAGAGGGAACAGAAACAUAAAGGAGAAGGUAUUAAUAGUUCAUAGAACAUGAUAAAAAAAUGUCUGUAAUGUAUUAUUAUAUUUAGUUAUUUAUGAUGUAUAUUUUUUGAUAAUAAGUUAAAAUAAAGAAAAAUGAAACAUUA